GGACCCUUAGCUUAGUGAUAAAGUAUUUGACCGCAAAUCAAGAGAUAAUCAAUUCGAACCUGAUAAGACCCU
rnacentral:tRNA from 1 species